UACGGGGGGAGCAAGCGUUGUUCGGAUUUACUGGGCGUAAAGGGCGCGUAGGCGGCCAACUAAGUCAGACGUGAAAUCCCUCGGCUUAACCGGGGAACUGCGUCUGAUACUGGAUGGCUAGAGUUUGGGAGAGGGAUGCGGAAUUCCAGGUGUAGCGGUGAAAUGCGUAGAUAUCUGGAGGAACACCGGUGGCGAAGGCGGCAUCCUGGACCAACACUGACGCUGAGGAGCGAAAGCCAGGGGAGCAAACGGG
rnacentral:rRNA from 1 species